rnacentral:lncRNA from 1 species
ACCUAGGGAGUGUCUUGUGGUCCGAGAAGGGUAGAUGAAAAGCAUGUCUAUCCUUAGUGACUUCCAAGUGGCUUGCUAUCUGCGAGAGCAAGUUACAAACAGUUUCUGGCUUAGAAAACUCUGUGCUGUGGAUGGCAAAGAUACCUGAUCUUGUUUCGAGUCAAGGUCCUGUCUUCUGUAUCUCUCCAUGGUUUCAGAGACUUAAAACAGUUGUGUUGUGGAGAUGGAAAGAGCUUGGAACAUUUGCAGGUAUGUCUUUGUUCAUUUCUCAAAUAUCUGAGAUCAUCAAUUCAUCCAUCCAUCCAUCAAUCCAUCCAUCCAUCAAUCCAUCCAUCCGUCCGUCCGUCCGUCCGUCCAAUAUUUAUUGUCUAUCAUGUGACAGGCUGACAUCGACUUUGCCCUUAUGA